GGCGUGUACUGCUUGGCUGGGCCUUACUUCUUGGUGAGCCGGCGUGCCCUUUAUUGGUGUGCGUCGGGGAACCAGGACUUUUACCUUGAGAAAAUUAGAGUGUUCAAAGCAGGCCUAUGCCUGAAUACAUUAGCAUGGAAUAAUAGAAUAGGACGUGCGGUUCUAUUUUGUUGGUUUCUAGAGUCGCCGUAAUGAUUAAUAGGGACAGUUGGGGGCAUUGGUAUUGAGUCGCUAGAGGUGAAAUUCUUGGAUUGACUCAAGACCGACUAUUGCGAAAGCAUUUGCCAAGGAUGUUUUCAUUAAUCAAGAACGAAGGUUAGGGGAUCGAAAACGAUCAGAUACCGUUGUAGUCUUAACAGUAAACUAUGCCGACUAGGGAUCGGAUGACCUCAAAAUUGAUGUGUCAUUCGGCACCUUACGAGAAAUCAAAGUCUUUGGGUUCUGGGGGGAGCAUGGUCGCAAGGCUGAAACUUAAAGGAAUUGACGGAAGGGCACCACCAGGUGUGGAGCCUGCGGCUUAAUUUGACUCAACACGGGGAAGCUCACCAGGUCCAGACAUAACUAGGAUUGACAGAUUGAUAGCUCUUUCAUGAUUUUAUGGGUGGUGGUGCAUGGGCCGUUCUUAGUUGGUGGAGUGAUUUGUCUGGUUAAUUCCGAUAACGAACGAGACCUUAACCUGCUAAAUAGCCAGGCCGGCUUCGGCUGGUCUCUGGCUUCUUAGAGGGACUGUCAG
rnacentral:rRNA from 1 species